GAACGCACAUUGCGCCCGCCAGCAUUCUGGCGGGCAUGCCUGUUCGAGCGUCAUUUCAACCCUCGCAGCCCAUCUGGGCAGCGGUGUUGGGGACCGGCACCACCGGCGAAGCCCUUAGGGGCCCAGCCGGCGCCGCCCCCGAAAUACAGUGGCGGUCUCGCUGCAGCCUCCCUUGCGUAGUAGCACACCCCGCACCGGAGCGCAGCGCGGCCACGCCGUAAAACCCCCGACUUUCUGAGUUUGACCUCGAAUCAGGUAGGAAUACCCGCUGAACUUAAG
rnacentral:misc_RNA from 1 species